rnacentral:tRNA from 1 species
GCUGAGGUGGUCCAGUGGUAGAAUUCUUAUCUUCCAUGCAGCAGGCCUGGGUUUGAUUCCCAGCCAGUGCA